UCUCCGCCGUUCAAAAAUUUGAACCGAUCUUUGUACUCGUGUUUCACCUGAGCAAGGAUCAAUUAGGUCCGGUGUUAUCCAUUCGUCAGAUCAGUCUGAACCGCGUAAUACGAGAAUUACCCGGUCUAGCGCUGCAGCAGAACGUGAUCGACAUACCCAGU